GGAACAUGUGGUUUAAUUCGAUGAUACGCGAGGAACCUUACCCGGGCUUGAAUUGCAGGUGCAUGGACCAGAGAUGGUCCUUUCCUUCGGGACUCCUGUGAAGGUGCUGCAUGGUUGUCGUCAGCUCGUGCCGUGAGGUGUCGGCUUAAGUGCCAUAACGAGCGCAACCCUUAUCCUCAGUAGCCAGCAGUAAGAUGGGCACUCUGUGGAGACUGCCAGGGAUAACCUGGAGGAAGGUGGGGAGUGACGUCAAAUCAUCAUGCCCCUUAUGAUUUGGGCUACACACGUGCUACAAUGGCGUAAACAAAGGGAAGCGAAAGGGUGACCUGGAGCAAAUCUCAGAAAUAACGUC
rnacentral:rRNA from 1 species